rnacentral:rRNA from 1 species
CAGAUUGAACGCUGGCGGCAGGCCUAACACAUGCAAGUCGGACGGUAGCACAGAGAGCUUGCUCUCGGGUGACGAGUGGCGGACGGGUGAGUAAUGUCUGGGGAUCUGCCCGAUAGAGGGGGAUAACCACUGGAAACGGUGGCUAAUACCGCAUAACGUCGCAAGACCAAAGAGGGGGACCUUCGGGCCUCUCACUAUCGGAUGAACCCAGAUGGGAUUAGCUAGUAGGCGGGGUAACGGCCCACCUAGGCGACGAUCCCUAGCUGGUCUGAGAGGAUGACCAGCCACACUGGAACUGAGACACGGUCCAGACUCCUACGGGAGGCAGCAGUGGGGAAUAUUGCACAAUGGGCGCAAGCCUGAUGCAGCCAUGCCGCGUGUAUGAAGAAGGCCCUCGGGUUGUAAAGUACUUUCAGCGGGGAGGAAGGCAACAAGGUUAAUAACCGUGUUGAUUGACGUUACCCGCAGAAGAAGCACCGGCUAACUCCGUGCCAGCAGCCGCGGUAAUACGGAGGGUGCAAGCGUUAAUCGGAAUUACUGGGCGUAAAGCGCACGCAGGCGGUCUGUUAAGUCAGAUGUGAAAUCCCCGGGCUUAACCUGGGAACUGCAUUUGAAACUGGCAGGCUUGAGUCUCGUAGAGGGGGGUAGAAUUCCAGGUGUAGCGGUGAAAUGCGUAGAGAUCUGGAGGAAUACCGGUGGCGAAGGCGGCCCCCUGGACGAAGACUGACGC